CUAAUUGCCUUUUUUAUCCACUUUUUCGUUGCUUCUUUCAUCUUUCAAUUUUUUGUGUAUUAUUCAAAUUAGCUUGUCAAAUGCAUUUUUCCUCUCUUGUUGAUCCUGUUGAAUGAUUAUUAGGAUAAUGAGGAUGAUGUACCAGUAAUCCUAUGCUUCAUUUAAUUCAAAGUUUUUCACUGUUGAUGCAAAAUACACCAAAACGUGAUUUGUCAGUCAACUUAUCAUCAACUUUUGUAAUUCUUGACGCAUUUUCACUCUUUUUUUCAACUUGCAAUGCAAAUUAUCAUUCAGAUUUUCUCAGACGAAUGGAAACAUCUACCUUCUUAUCUAAUUGUUCAUUUUUCACCAUGACCGCCAUCACCAUUAGUAUCCACCAUAAUAAGCUGAAAUUUUCAACUUUACACCAAAACUCUUGACUACACACAAAAGUCCAUUGAACGAAAGAUAAUUUAUAAAUAACUCAUUAAGUUUCUUUCUACUUCAGCUAACUAACUUUAACUAACCAUGCUAGAAAUAUUCAGUCAUUAAUAUUCAUUGAAGUAAUCUGAGAUAAAAAAAAAAGAAAUUCUAGCAAAGUAAAGGAUGAUGAACAUGAAAGAAUCAAUUGAAAUUCACUGGAAAAGAUGUUGCUUUUCAUCUUUCAUUUCUUUUUCUUCUUUCUCUUCUUCAUCAUCUUCCUUGCCUCUGUUCAUUCACUUCAUAUUAUAAUACAUAUCAGGGAAAAAAAGAGACAGGAAACUAAAUGGGAGUAUGAAUGUGUUAUUCAUAUUUAUCAAAUAUACAAAUAAUAAAUAUAUGUUGUAUAUCUAAAUUCAUAUCCAUAUAAUAUUCAAAUAAUUUGAAAAUA